rnacentral:rRNA from 1 species
AGAGUUUGAUCCUGGCUCAGGAUGAACGCUGGCGGCGUGCUUAACACAUGCAAGUCGAACGGUGAAGCAGAGCUUGCUCUGUGGAUCAGUGGCGAACGGGUGAGUAACACGUGAGUAACCUGCCCCUGACUCUGGGAUAAGCGCUGGAAACGGCGUCUAAUACUGGAUACGAGUAGUGAUCGCAUGGUCAACUACUGGAAAGAAUUUCGGUCUGGGAUGGACUCGCGGCCUAUCAGCUUGUUGGUGAGGUAAUGGCUCACCAAGGCGUCGACGGGUAGCCGGCCUGAGAGGGUGACCGGCCACACUGGGACUGAGACACGGCCCAGACUCCUACGGGAGGCAGCAGUGGGGAAUAUUGCACAAUGGGCGAAAGCCUGAUGCAGCAACGCCGCGUGAGGGAUGACGGCCUUCGGGUUGUAAACCUCUUUUAGUAGGGAAGAAGCGAAAGUGACGGUACCUGCAGAAAAAGCGCCGGCUAACUACGUGCCAGCAGCCGCGGUAAUACGUAGGGCGCAAGCGUUAUCCGGAAUUAUUGGGCGUAAAGAGCUCGUAGGCGGUUUGUCGCGUCUGCUGUGAAAUCCCGAGGCUCAACCUCGGGCCUGCAGUGGGUACGGGCGGACUAGAGUGCGGUAGGGGAGAUUGGAAUUCCUGGUGUAGCGGUGGAAUGCGCAGAUGUCAGGAGGAACACCGAUGGCGAAGGCAGGUCUCUGGGCUGUAACUGACGCUGAGGAGCGAAAGCAUGGGGAGCGAACAGGAUUAGAUACCCUGGUAGUCCAUGCCGUAAACGUUGGGCACUAGGUGUGGGGGACAUUCCACGUUUUCCGCGCCGUAGCUAACGCAUUAAGGGCGGGCCUUGGGGAGUACGGCCGCAAGGCUAAAACUCAAAGGAAUUGACGGGGGCCCGCACAAGCGGCGGAGCAUGCGGAUUAAUUCGAUGCAACGCGAAGAACCUUACCAAGGCUUGACAUGGACCGGUAACGCCUGGAAACAGGUGCCCCACUUUGUGGCCGGUUCACAGGUGGUGCAUGGUUGUCGUCAGCUCGUGUCGUGAGAUGUUGGGUUAAGUCCCGCAACGAGCGCAACCCUCGUUCUAUGUUGCCAGCGGUUCGGCCGGGGACUCAUAGGAGACUGCCGGGGUCAACUCGGAGGAAGGUGGGGACGACGUCAAAUCAUCAUGCCCCUUAUGUCUUGGGCUUCACGCAUGCUACAAUGGCCGAUACAAAGGGUUGCCAACCCGCGAGGGGGAGCUAAUCCCAUAAAGCCAGUCGUAGUCCGGAUCGCAGUCUGCAACUCGACUGCGUGAAGUCGGAAUCGCUAGUAAUCGUGGAUCAGAGUGUCACGGUGAAUACGUUCCCGGGUCUUGCACUCACCGCCCGUCA